UACGUAGGGUGCAAGCGUUAAUCGGAAUUACUGGGCGUAAAGCGUGCGCAGGCGGUUUUGUAAGACUGUCGUGAAAUCCCCGGGCUCAACCUGGGAAUGGCGAUGGUGACUGCAAGGCUAGAGUUUGGCAGAGGGGGGUAGAAUUCCACGUGUAGCAGUGAAAUGCGUAGAUAUGUGGAGGAACACCGAUGGCGAAGGCAGCCCCCUGGGUCAAAACUGACGCUCAGGUGCGAAAGCGUGGGGAGCAAACAGG
rnacentral:rRNA from 1 species